rnacentral:rRNA from 1 species
UACGGAGGGUGCGAGCGUUGUCCGGAAUCAUUGGGCGUAAAGGGCGCGUAGGUGGCCCGGUCAGUUCGUGGUGAAAGCGCGGGGCUCAACCCUGCGUCGGCCAUGAAUACUGCCGCGGCUGGAGCACUGUAGAGGCAGGCGGAAUUCCGGGUGUAGCGGUGGAAUGCGUAGAGAUCCGGAGGAACACCAGUGGCGAAGGCGACACGCUGGGCCGUACCUGACACUGAACCGCGACAGCAUGGGGAGCAAACAGG